AGUGAACGCUGGCGGUAGGCCUAACACAUGCAAGUCGAACGGCAGCACAGUAAGAGCUUGCUCUUACGGGUGGCGAGUGGCGGACGGGUGAGGAAUACAUCGGAAUCUACUUUUUCGUGGGGGAUAACGUAGGGAAACUUACGCUAAUACCGCAUACGACCUACGGGUGAAAGCAGGUGAUCUUCGGACCUUGCGCGAUUGAAUGAGCCGAUGUCGGAUUAGCUAGUUGGCGGGGUAAAGGCCCACCAAGGCGACGAUCCGUAGCUGGUCUGAGAGGAUGAUCAGCCACACUGGAACUGAGACACGGUCCAGACUCCUACGGGAGGCAGCAGUGGGGAAUAUUGGACAAUGGGCGCAAGACUGAUCCAGCCAUACCGCGUGGGUGAAGAAGGCCUUCGGGUUGUAAAGCCCUUUUGUUGGGAAAGAAAAGCAGCAGGUUAAUACCCCGCUGUUCUGACGGUACCCAAAGAAUAAGCACCGGCUAACUUCGUG
rnacentral:rRNA from 1 species